UGUAUUUUCAUUCCCCCGCGAAGCACCCUGCUCCUUCGCAACCCACGUCUGCUUCCACAACCCAGCACCUCCCGGCGACGCCGUCUCUCGUCAGUGCCACCGAGCGGCGCUCCUCCGUCUGCCCAGCGCCUCCACUGUCCCUCGAGCUCGUUGAACGGAGCAAACAAGAUUUGAAUCAUGCGAACCCUCCUUCCUCGCCACGAACCCACGUCCAUCAGCUUCCUCUUGCCAGUGCCAGCUCACGACUGCGUCUCUCUGUUCAGGGCCAAAUCGCGACGCUCGUACGUCUGCCCAGUGCCACCACUCCCCGCGAGUUGAUUGAACGGACCAAACCAGCGACGGGACUGAGUGCUCUGUUUCGCCAAAUGGUUUGCUAGAAAAUUAGGGUUCGUAACUGCUCUUGUGCGUGCGCAUUGCUAUUAUUGAGGCACAUUUUGUGGUAUUUGGCUCUUCUUGCAAAGUAUCCUGUGUCAACAAAAGCUCUAACAUCUGCACUUUUAACUUUAAUUGGAGAUUUAAUCUGUCAGGAAUGUUAUUUACGAAAGUUAUUGGGUUGGAAGUGCAAAGAAAUUGCUCUUUGGUUCCCCGAAGGCCCUGCUAACUGGGGGAGUAGCCUACACCCUUGGAUCUAUGAGUAAAUGCUUGAUUAAGUUGCUUGAUGCCCAUCGUCCUAUUUUCAUUUGUUGUUAGACUAUUUUGAGAAGCUAGUUAUGAAGUUUUGACCUGGCUGGGUCAUACCUAUUUCCUUAGAACAUUAGACUUGCUGCUUAUCAUUUAAUGUAACGAUAUUUAUUAAAUAUAAAGUUGGAUGUGG